CUUUAAUUUUAUUAAUUUUCUUUAUUCUUUAAGUCUUAAUACAAACUUGUAAGUUGAAACCAUUUUAUUGUCUCCGAACAAUCAUGUCAUAUUGUUGAUUUAUAUCAUAUUUUUUCAAAUUCAAUUCUGUAACCUUAAAUGCAACUAUUGAUUCAAAAAUGACAAAACCUGUUUCAUUGAAUAUAAUUGAUGUAGUGGAUUUACAAAUAAUGAGCAAUUUUGUAUAAGGACAAUUUUAAAUUUAUUAAUAUUACUGACAUUGAAUUUAUGUUUAAUUUGCCGUGUAUCAGCCAAAUUAAUAUCUAGGAGGACUACAUGCAUGAAUUCAGUAUUAAGAAAUAUCAUUAAUAUAUAUUGGUGAAUGAUUGUUGAGAUAGCGUUUAUCUAAAUCCAACCAUAUAACACAAAACUUAUGUUUCUGUUCAUAUUGUAUAAAGUGCAUAUUGAGCAUUUUGAAAAUAGUUAUAAAUUCUAUUGUCCGUUUUAGUCUGCAUCAUUUUUGCUGAGAAUAUAUUUAUAGUUAAAUAUCUUAACAUAAUCAUUAUAAUUAAGUAUAUGGUUAGUAUUAAUUGGAAAUGCACUCAUUUUAAUUAGCUUAGUGCGAGCUUCAUGUGGUAUACAUCUUGUUGUUGAAUGUAUUGUAUUAUUAUAAUUAUAUAUUAGUUAAGAUAUAGUUUCUCGAGUUCUGAGUACCUGUUGUUAUUAAAUUUACGUUCAUUAUAUUUUUAUUUUUCUUAUUAUAUCAUUAACCAUUAAUUCUAUUUACUAGUGUAAAUAAAGUAACAAUAUUGAUGGAUUA
rnacentral:lncRNA from 1 species